rnacentral:tRNA from 1 species
GUGGAUGUAGCUCAGUUAGGUCAGAGCACCUGGUUGUGGUCCAGGGGGUCGGGGGUUCGAAUCCCCUCAUCCACC